rnacentral:sRNA from 1 species
UUUUUUUUUGGUAUCACUCGUGCAGAUUGACAGAACCAUAUUUCUUGAUCAUCUUGCAGUAUUGAUCCAGAUGUCGAAUACAAGUUCUUGAUGAGUACAUCUGUACAUGCAUCAUCUUCAAGUUUUGGAUCGGUUUUCCGAAAUGACUUUUUAGUUGUACGACACUGACAAAAAAAUGUCGUAUGGGAUUGUAAAUGUUAGUUUUUGUAAAAAUCCUUUAAAAGAGAAAACUUUU